AUGAAUCUCCUAACUCGGUGGCCCAUGAGGUUCCAAUGGUUAGUUUUGGAUUUUUUCAGGCAAGAAAGCAAAGAAGAAGGGAGGAUUCUCUAUUACCAACUUCCCCCAUUGUCCUGUCCUCAUUGGUCAUUCAUCUUUCCCGAUCUAGUGCCAUCGUUCUUCAAGGUGCCAGAGGGUUUGAAGCAUACCUACUACCCCUCCCCUAAGCUUAGUUCAGAGUUGCCUCAGCGCGCUCGAGUAAUAACUGGGAAAAUCAAGGUUGGACAGGUCUUCGAGCCAACUUCAGGAAGAAAUGCAAGUGAAAGAGAAUGCUCUCGAGGGCGCAGGAGUCUUUUCUUUCUUAUUUGA
rnacentral:rRNA from 1 species